AUCGCUUCUCGGCCUUUUGGCCAAGAUCAUGUGUAGUAUCUAUUCUCAUCAGUUUAAUAUCUGAUACGUCCUGUAUUGGAGAACAGUAUAUUAAAUGGAUUUUGGGAGCAGGGACAUGGAACGGGAGCUUGCUCCGUCCAGUCCACGCAUCGGCCUGGUAGCGCAGUGUCUCCAGGCACAGGUGCACCCCAU